UCGACUCGUCCGGCGCCGUACCCCGCGGCCAGAUCGUCCAGCUGACCUUCACCUCGUCUUGGGGGGACCGGCAGCAGCUCGGUCUGACGGCACUGGAAAUAGUGCGGGAAAACCAGCAGGUGGUGCCUCUGAAGACCUCCUACCUGACUGCAUCGACAGCCACAGCGACACUGCCGAGACUGCUGGACGAGCAGCGCGUCAGCUGUGAUCCGGAGCACAUGUGGCUG